UAUUAAGGUACACCAUACACAAGAAAACACUGAUUUUAACUGAGUAAUUAAAUCGGCUCUGACAAAUAUACAACCUGCGGAGUCCCCACCCUGGUCUUCGGGCCCUUCCCUCUCCCACCUGACUGUUUCUUCCUGUUGUCUCAGGGGUGUGGUUAGGUGCGUCUUCCCUGGGGUUUCUCAGGAUUGGAGCCGCAGCAUGGACUCCACUCAUGGCAUUCUGCCCUCCCUAGCACUGGAGAGACACUGACACACAAAUGGUCCACGUGUCCAUUCCCCCGUGGUGAAUGGACGUGUCUUCGUGUGGGCGCACUCCUGUUUCUCUUGGGUAAACACCCAGGAAUACAUGGCCUUUGAGGUUGUACGUGUGACACCCCCACCUCUGGAGUCUGGGGUGCCCUCCUACCGACCAGCUCCAGGGGUAUGCGGCAGCACCUCCCAUGGUGGGACUGGGGUUCCCAGAGGAGCCCUACUGCUGAACCCUGCACACUCCGUGCCCGUUUGCAGACACUCUCUCAGGCUGAGCCCCACACGCUCCGUGCCCGUUUGCAGACACUCUCAGGCUGAGCCCCACACGCUCCGUGCCCGUUUGCAGACAUUCUCAGGCUGAGCCCCACAUGCUCCAUGCCCAUUUGCAGACUCUCUCUCAGGCUGAGCCCCGCACGCUCCGUGCCCGUUUGCAGACUCUCAGGCUGAGCCCCGCACGCUCUGUGCCUGUUUGCAGACACUCUCUCAGGCUGAGCCUGACAUGCUCCGUGCCCGUUUGCAAACAUUCUCU
rnacentral:lncRNA from 1 species